UAGUCCACGCCGUAAACGAUGUGUGCUAGAUGUCGGGCCCUUAGGGUUCGGUGUCGCAGCUAACGCACUAAGCACACCGCCUGGGGAGUACGGUCGCAAGAUUAAAACUCAAAGGAAUUGACGGGGACCCGCACAAGCGGUGGAGCAUGUUGUUUAAUUCGACGCAACGCGAAGAACCUUACCAGCCCUUGACAUACUGGUCGCGGAUUUCAGAGAUGAUUUCCUUCAGCUUGGCUGGACCAUGUACAGGUGCUGCACGGCUGUCGUCAGCUCGUGUCGUGAGAUGUUGGGUUAAGUCCCGCAACGAGCGCAACCCUCAUCCUUAGUUGCUAACAUUCAGUUGAGAACUCUAAGGAAACUGCCGGUGAUAAACCGGAGGAAGGUGGGGAUGACGUCAAGUCUUCAUGGCCCUUAUGGGCUGGGCUACACACGUGCUACGAUGGCCGGUACAGAGGGCAGCCACUACGCGAGUAGGAGCGAAUCCUUAAAACCGGUCUCAGUUCGGAUC
rnacentral:rRNA from 1 species